AUUGAACGCUGGCGGCAGGCCUAACACAUGCAAGUCGAGCGGCAGCGGGAAAGUAGCUUGCUACUUUUGCCGGCGAGCGGCGGACGGGUGAGUAAUGCCUGGGAAAUUGCCCAGUCGAGGGGGAUAACAGUUGGAAACGACUGCUAAUACCGCAUACGCCCUACGGGGGAAAGCAGGGGACCUUCGGGCCUUGCGCGAUUGGAUAUGUCCAGGUGGGGUUAGCUAGUUGGUGAGGUAAUGGCUCACCAAGGCGACGAUCCCUAGCUGGUCUGAGAGGAUGAUCAGCCACACUGGAACUGAGACACGGUCCAGACUCCUACGGGAGGCAGCAGUGGGGAAUAUUGCACAAUGGGGGAAACCCAGAUGCAGCCAUGCCGCGUGUGUGAAGAAGGCCUUCGGGUUGUAAAGCACUUUCAGCGAGGAGGAAAGGUCAGUAGCUAAUAUCUGCUGACUGUGACGUUACUCGCAGAAGAAGCACCGGCUAACUCCGUGCCAGCCGCCGCAGUAAAAC
rnacentral:rRNA from 1 species